rnacentral:rRNA from 1 species
GAUGAACGCUGGCGGCGUGCCUAAUACAUGCAAGUCGAGCGAACGGACGAGAAGCUUGCUUCUCUGAUGUUAGCGGCGGACGGGUGAGUAACACGUGGAUAACCUACCUAUAAGACUGGGAUAACUUCGGGAAACCGUAGCUAAUACCGGAUAAUAUUUUGAACCGCAUGGUUCAAAAGUGAAAGACGGUCUUGCUGUCACUUAUAGAUGGAUCCGCGCUGCAUUAGCUAGUUGGUAAGGUAACGGCUUACCAAGGCAACGAUGCAUAGCCGACCUGAGAGGGGGACGGGCCACACUGGAACGGGAACCCGGCCCAGACCCAUCGGGGAGGAACAGGAGGGGAUUCUCGCGCAAGGGGCGAAGGCCGGAGGGACAACGCCGGCGUGAGGAAUGAAGGUCUUGGGUACUAAAACCUGUUUUAUUGGGGAAAAACAUAUGUGAAAGAAAUUGUGCACACCCGGACGGUACCUAAUAAAAAGCCAACGGCUAACUAGGUG